rnacentral:rRNA from 1 species
AGAGUUGAUCUGGCUCAGGAUGAACGCUAGCGACAGGCUAACACAUGCAAGUCGAGGGGCAUCACGGGAGUAGCAAUACAACUGGUGGCGACCGGCGCACGGGUGAGUAACGCGUAUGCAACCUACCUAUCAGAGGGGAAUAACCCGGCGAAAGUCGGACUAAUACCGCAUAAAACAGGGGCACCGCAUGGUGAUAUUUGUUAAAGAAAUUCGCUGAUAGAUGGGCAUGCGUUCCAUUAGGUAGUUGGUGAGGUAACGGCUCACCAAGCCGACGAUGGAUAGGGGAACUGAGAGGUUGGUCCCCCACACUGGUACUGAGACACGGACCAGACUCCUACGGGAGGCAGCAGUGAGGAAUAUUGGUCAAUGGGCGGGAGCCUGAACCAGCCAAGUCGCGUGAAAGGAAGAAGGAUCUAUGGUUCGUAAACUUCUUUUGCAGGGGAAUAAAGUGCAGGACGUGUCCUGUUUUGUAUGUACCCUGAGAAUAAGGAUCGGCUAACUCCGUGCCAGCAGCCGC